UACAGAGGGUGCAAGCGUUAAUCGGAAUUACUGGGCGUAAAGGGUGCGUAGGUGGUUAAUUAAGUCAGAUGUGAAAUCCCCAGGCUUAACCUGGGAAUUGCGUUUGAAACUGAAUAACUAGAGUAUGGUAGAGGGAAGUGGAAUUUCCGGUGUAGCGGUGAAAUGCGUAGAUAUCGGAAGGAACAUCAGUGGCGAAGGCGACUUCCUGGACCAUUACUGACACUGAGGCACGAAAGCGUGGGGAGCGAACAGG
rnacentral:rRNA from 1 species